CCCCCCAGAAGGCACAGGUCGAGCUCCUUUGUAAGAUAUUUUGAGUGGGAAAAUAAAAGUUAAUGUUCCACUGUACUCUGGCAGCAAUUUGGAUUUUGUGUUUCUUGACCAGCAGACCAGCGCUAUACCUAAAUGACACAGGUUCACGAGUCUACAAUCAAAUACAAAACUUUUUUUUUUCCCCCAGUGGAUGUGGACCAUGAGUCACUCACCAAAAACUGCUUAGGAUUUAAGUUGUACUUAUGACAGCUAAUUCAAUCUGACGGUUAGAAAUGUUAAGACCUUGAGGGCUCAGCACACAGUCACUGCUAAGUAGGUUAAAUAAAACAGAAGCAAACGUGAUCAAUUGCAUACAUCUGUACAGUGUUAAUUGUUAAUGGAAGUGUUGCUGUUUGUAUCAAACUCCUCAGAUGUGCAAGCUUAUAAUUGAAUACAAUAGACUUGAAUCCAAAGAAGAAACCUUUUUGUUUAAUUCAGAAAUUAAAGGACAACGUCUUUGUCCAAUA